rnacentral:misc_RNA from 1 species
AAAUACCGCGUGGAUUAAUUC